UUAAUGACCAAAACCCAACUUUGGAAGGUUCUCCACGACCUCGAUGACCAAAACCCAACUUUUUAGAGUUCUCCAUGAUUUUAAUGACCAAAAACUCAAAUUUUGCGUAUUCAUUGACCUCAAAACCCAACUUUGGAAGGUUCUCCAUUAUUUUAAUGACCAAUUCCCAACUUUUGGAUUUCCUCUUUGGUUUUGAUGACCAAAACCCAACUUUGGAAGGUUCUCCACGACCUCGAUGACCAAAACCCAACUUUUUAGAGUUCUCCAUGAUUUUAAUGACCAAAAACUCAAAUUUUGAGUAUUCAUUGACCAAAAACUCAACUUUUUAGAGAUUUCCAUGACCUUGAUGACCAAAACCCAACUUUGGAAGGUUCUACACGACCUCGAUGACCAAAACCCAACUUUUUAGAGUUCUCCAUGAUUUUAAUGACCAAAAACUCAAAUUUUGAGUAUUCAAUGACCUCAAACCUCAACUUUUUUAGAGUUCUCCACCACCCUCAUGACCAAAACCCAACUUUUGGCCACUCCACACCCCAAGUCCAACUUUGGAGCGUUCUCCUGGGUUCCAAUGGCCGAACCCCGGCUCUGGGGGCUGACCACGCCCCCGAUGACCACUGUCCACCACGGGGGGGUUCACCUUGACCUUGAUGACCCAAACCCAACUUUGGAAGGUUCUCCAUUAUUUUAAUGACCAAAACCCCAAUUUUAGACAAUUCAAUGACCUAAAAACCCAACUUUGGAAGGUUCUCUAUGAUUUUAAUGACCAAAAACCCAAAUUUUGGUCAUUCAAUGACCAAAAACC